GCUCAAGGUUACUGACUGGUGUGGUAAUGGACUCUGGAGAUGGUGUCACUCACAUUUGCCCAGUAUAUAAAGGCUGUUCCCUCCCUCACCUUAAAAGGAGGCUGGAUAUUGCUGGGAGGGAUAUUACCAGGUAUCUUAUCAAGCUGCUGCUGUUGCGAGGAUAUGCCUUCAACCAUUCUGCUGACUGAGACAGUUCUCAUGAUUAAAGAAAAACUUUGUUAUGUGGGUUACAAUAUUGAGCAAGAGCAGAAGCUGGCCUUAGACACAACAGUGCUAGUUGAGUCAUAUACUUUUCCAGAUGGACAUAUUAUUAAGGUUGGAGGAGAAAAAUUUGAAGCACCAGAAGCUUUAUUUCAGCCUCAUUUGAUCAAUGUUGAGGGGGUUGGUGUUGCUGAAUUGCUUUUUAACACAAUCCAGGCAGCUGACAUUGAUACCAGAUCUGAAUUUUACAAGCACAUUGUGCUUUCUGGAGGUUCUACCAUGUAUUCUGGCCUGCCAUUGAGGUUGGAACGAGAGCUUAAACAGCUUUACUUAGGACGAGUUCUGAAAGGAGAUGUGGAAAA
rnacentral:lncRNA from 1 species